UGACGUGAAUUGCAGACACACCGAACUUGAAUACUUUGAACGCACAUUGCAGCGUCGAUCAAAGAUGUCGACGCUACGCCUGUCUGAGGGUC
rnacentral:rRNA from 1 species